rnacentral:rRNA from 1 species
GACAGAGGUCCCGAGCGUUAGGCGGAAUCACUGGGCUUAAAGCGUGUGUAGGCGGCGGCCUAAGUACCUUGUGAAAUCCCACGGCUCACCCGUGGAACUGCUCGGUAUACUGGGUCGCUUGAGCCACUUAGGGGCUACCGGAACAAAUGGUGGAGCGGUGAAAUGCGUAGAUAUCAUUUGGAACGCCAAUGGUGAAAACAGCUCGCUGGGGGUUUGCUGACGCUGAGACACGAAAGCCAGGGGAGCAAACGGG